GAUGAAGAACGUAGCGAAACGCGAUAGUUAAUGUGAAUUGCAGAAUUCAGUGAAUCAUCGAAUCUUUGAACGCACAUUGCGCCCGCCAGUAUUCUGGCGGGCAUGCCUGUUCGAGCGUCAUUUCAACCAUCAAGCCCCCGGCUUGUGUUGGGGACCUGCGGCUGCCGCAGGCCCUGAAAAGCAGUGGCGGGCUCGCUGUCACACCGAGCGUAGUAGCAUACAUCUCGCUCUGGGCGUGCUGCGGGUUCCGGCCGUUAAACCACCUUCAUAACCCAAGGUUGACCUCGGAUCAGGUAGGAAGACCCGCUGAACUUAAGCAUAUCAAUAAGCGGAGGA
rnacentral:misc_RNA from 1 species